rnacentral:rRNA from 1 species
CUCUGGUAUUGAUUGGUGCUUGCAUCAUGAUUUACAUUUGAGUGAGUGGCGAACUGGUGAGUAACACGUGGGAAACCUGCCCAGAAGCGGGGGAUAACACCUGGAAACAGAUGCUAAUACCGCAUAACAACUUGGACCGCAUGGUCCGAGUUUGAAAGAUGGCUUCGGCUAUCACUUUUGGAUGGUCCCGCGGCGUAUUAGCUAGAUGGUGAGGUAACGGCUCACCAUGGCAAUGAUACGUAGCCGACCUGAGAGGGUAAUCGGCCACAUUGGGACUGAGACACGGCCCAAACUCCUACGGGAGGCAGCAGUAGGGAAUCUUCCACAAUGGACGAAAGUCUGAUGGAGCAACGCCGCGUGAGUGAAGAAGGGUUUCGGCUCGUAAAACUCUGUUGUUAAAGAAGAACAUAUCUGAGAGUAACUGUUCAGGUAUUGACGGUAUUUAACCAGAAAGCCACGGCUAACUACGUGCCAGCAGCCGCGGUAAUACGUAGGUGGCAAGCGUUGUCCGGAUUUAUUGGGCGUAAAGCGAGCGCAGGCGGUUUUUUAAGUCUGAUGUGAAAGCCUUCGGCUCAACCGAAGAAGUGCAUCGGAAACUGGGAAACUUGAGUGCAGAAGAGGACAGUGGAACUCCAUGUGUAGCGGUGAAAUGCGUAGAUAUAUGGAAGAACACCAGUGGCGAAGGCGGCUGUCUGGUCUGUAACUGACGCUGAGGCUCGAAAGUAUGGGUAGCAAACAGGAUUAGAUACCCUGGUAGUCCAUACCGUAAACGAUGAAUGCUAAGUGUUGGAGGGUUUCCGCCCUUCAGUGCUGCAGCUAACGCAUUAAGCAUUCCGCCUGGGGAGUACGGCCGCAAGGCUGAAACUCAAAGGAAUUGACGGGGGCCCGCACAAGCGGUGGAGCAUGUGGUUUAAUUCGAAGCUACGCGAAGAACCUUACCAGGUCUUGACAUACUAUGCAAAUCUAAGAGAUUAGACGUUCCCUUCGGGGACAUGGAUACAGGUGGUGCAUGGUUGUCGUCAGCUCGUGUCGUGAGAUGUUGGGUUAAGUCCCGCAACGAGCGCAACCCUUAUUAUCAGUUGCCAGCAUUAAGUUGGGCACUCUGGUGAGACUGCCGGUGACAAACCGGAGGAAGGUGGGGAUGACGUCAAAUCAUCAUGCCCCUUAUGACCUGGGCUACACACGUGCUACAAUGGAUGGUACAACGAGUUGCGAACUCGCGAGAGUAAGCUAAUCUCUUAAAGCCAUUCUCAGUUCGGAUUGUAGGCUGCAACUCGCCUACAUGAAGUCGGAAUCGCUAGUAAUCGCGGAUCAGCAUGCCGCGGUGAAUACGUUCCCGGGCCUUGUACACACCGCCCGUCACACCAUGAGAGUUUGUAACACCCAAAGUCGGUGGG